UACUUAGAUGCAGGGAAGGCAUCUGAAGCAGGUGAGCCCCUAAUGUUUCCCUAGUAAAGCUCUGUGCAACUGUUCCUUUAAUUUCCCAGCUGACUCAUCUGUAAGUCAAAAUUAUAUCUGAUGCAUAGAUAUCAGCAAUCAGUAGAUUUCAGCAGUUGCUGCCUCCCAUUUGCCUGCUGCAUAGGUAUGUAGGUUUUUACAUAUCAAGAGACUCUGUCCUAGUGGAAGCUUGUCUUUAGUUUGUGGAUUUCUUGGUAUUUCUGGAGAAAUACCAAGUUUUUAUAGUUGAUGGGCAUGAUGAGAAAAAGAUUAGUUUCUGAUUGUACUUACUUGAUGUGCUCACUUACCUUAGAGACACAUUUUUAGCUUGCUUUUAGUAUUUAUUAUAGGUGUAUUUUCUGGAAAUAAGUUGGUUUUACAUAAACCCAGCUGGACUGUUCCUCUUGGCACUUGGAGUGUGUGGAAUGCCUGAGGAAUGCAGAGGAAGCACAGGUACAAGUGCAGCUACAGUCCUGAGGCGAGAUUCCUGCUUGAGAUGUAGCCUGCUGCUGUUAGCUGAGCUCUAAAGUUGUACAUUAAAGCAAAACCAAGCUCCUCCAAAUAAAAUCAGCCAUGCUGGGGUUUUCUGCGAAUUCCACUUCCUAGCUGGUGCAGGGAUGACACUGGCAGCAUGGCUAGAACAUUUAGACUUUUUCAACUGUGCUUAUGUGCUCCAUGUGGACAUAGUUGAAUGGUUUAAUCUACUCUGUUCCUUACUCUGCAUCUGUUCCAAGCGACUCUGUGUGGGCAUGCUGAAGGUGUUUGCAGUGUACCAUAUUCUAUCCAGGGCACAGUGGAGCCAGAGUAGUACAAAAAUCUCUACUAGAAGAAUGAGGAAUGAUUUUUAUCAGGUGUGUCACUGGGCCCUGGUAACCAACCCCCUGUUCCUUCACAAGUUCUUUCAGUGUCCCCUGACAAGUGUUUGCCAUAAAUAAUUCUGCAUUUUUAAGUUGCAACAUCAGUGGUUAAGGUGCCUUUCUGCAUGUUCUUUGUGGUGUUUGUGUCACUGUACAAGUUGAAUAAGCAUUGCCCUCAGGCAGCUCCUGUCUUGUAAUAAAUACUGCUUUCAGCUGACAGACCCUUUCUUGCUGUUUUUCUGCAGGCAGCCAGUCCUACAGGAAGUGAGAACAGUUCCUUUCGUCAAGAAUCACCUGUCACAUUGUUGAAGGACAGAGCCAGCUUCCUGUAAUGAGCUUUACUGGCGACCUACUGAGAAGAGAGUGGGGUUAUUGACAUUGCAUGGCGUAUGCCUUGCACAGUGAUUCAGGGAUUAUCUGAUGGGAUGCAUCUGUUGUCAUCUCUAAAGCUGGCUAAGACAAGGGCCUUGUUAUUACAAUUCAAGGUCUUGGCAGCAGCCCAGGACUGAUAUGGGAGAUGCCUAUAGUCCACAUAUCUCCAAUAGUUUACUCUAAAGUGACGUUGCCACCUUGAGAAGAAACUCUUGCUCUCUGCCUUCUGUGUCAGAGUAAAUGGCCUUUGGAGACGGUAUGUAAUGCUCAGCACAGGAGGCUGUCCAAGCAGCUGUCUUUUUUACAUACUGCUCACUGAACUUAUUAUGCCUUUGUGAAUUAGUUGGGAGAUACCUGUGUUCAAAGGAUCUGAACAAGGGGGGAAAAUGUAUGCCAUGUGUGCAGAGCCUCACUGCCUGGAGCAGUCUCGUGUGGAGCGAGUUCUGUAUUUGGCCACCAGAGACUGGAGAGAAAGUAUUUCAUCAACUUCUGAUUGACCUGUGGCAGUUGAAAAAAACUGUGCCAGUGCCUAAGACAGCAUCCAUGCUCACCACCAUGAUCAGCAGCUUUAUCUGCAGCAAUCACUCCUACUAUUUCUUCCUAUGUUUUUUUCUUAAUUCUACUGUUAAACUUUUGUGGAGUGAAUAAUCCUUUUUUUUUCUGCUGGAAUGAAGAACUUUGUUUCUUCAUUCAAAGAAACCAUGAGAAUGUGAACACAUCAGAAGUAGCUUUCUCUUUACAUGUGGCUGUGGACAAUCUUUUUUGGUCUUUGUUGCCUUUUUUAUGUUCUUCAUGUCUGAGUGAUAACUGGUUAUGACUUUAUGGAAUUUGUGCUAGUCUUCAGUGAAUAUGAAGUGCUGACUAGGCAAGAGAGAUCAGAAAGCCCUCCACUAAAUAAAAAAAAAGAGCAGUUAGUUCCACCAGUAAAUUACAAAGCUAGUGCUGUUUGUUGUUCUUUCUCUCAAAAGUAACAGUGACCAGGAAACACUAAAUUCUUCACUGGGGGUUGGCUUUUCAGUAACAUCCCCUCAUGUGACACAACUGUUAGGACAACAGCAAUAACUUUUCCAGAACUGUAGUUUGCCUUGGAACUUGACUGCUGCUGAGAUAGACAUGCACAUAAUGCAGGCAGUAUAUUUGCCAUAGGCAGACUUCAAAAGCAAAUGCUUUAACAGGUACAAAAAGGGAAAAGGUAAGGCUUUUGUUUUGGAGUUUCACCUUGAGAAACAAACAAGUGGAACACAGCCUGAAAGAUAUAGCAACUCCAGUAGUGACACUACCUUCCCCUAGAGUAAAGAUAUGUAAAGCCAACAACCAUUUCCAUAGGACCAGAAGAAAGCCUUACGCUUCUGAUGAGGCCUUGAGUUGUGCCUCUUGGUAUGUGGUGGCAACUGAAGAGCCAAGCCCAUUUCCUUGUGUGAUGUGGUUGCCAUGAGACCCACCAAGAUCACUGAUGCUGUGUCAAAUGUUUGCAGAAAGGGCUUCCAUGUGCAAGUUCAGGUAACCCCUUUGGAUAAUAAACUUUAAACUGGAAUCAGGAUAUUCUGUAGGAGAAGACAUCCCCCCCAAUAAGACACCCCCCCCAAUAAGACUAGUUUAAAAUCUAGUCUUAUUCAUGUGGCAGGGAUGAUUUACUGCUCAGUAACUUCAGGGUCCUAAAACAAAGCAGGCAGUAUUGCUUUAACUCCCAAACUACAUAGGACAUAAAGUGAUUAUAGACACUUCAUAGCCCCGAUAGCAUAGAUCUCCAUGCAUGACAAAGAAAUCACAGAAAAUCUUUGACUUGUACUUCAAUUCAUCCACUUCCUCUCAGAGUUGAUAAACACAAUUAAUGGAAAAAUGGUUCACAAAAGGGCAAUAAUGGAAAACAGCAAUUAAGACUCACCUGGUGGUUUUCCAGGGUAGGCAACUUUUCUUUUUCCUCUGCAAUGCUGUCUUUUUUCCAACAUUGUAAUAGCAGCGGUCAAGUUAUUAACACUGACGCGCUAAGUGCAUUCGUUUGCAUACACAGAUAACACAUAAUGCUCCAGUAGUUGAGUUUUAUUUAUUUUACAGCAAUGCUGAGUUUCGUGUUGGAGCAAAUUUGGUUCUCUGAGAUGCAGAGCAGCAGUUCUUGAGAAGUGUUGAUUGCAGACUAAUUUUCUUUAUUUGGAGGGACACAACAACCUCACUGGCUUUACCAUUAGUUGAGAUCUAAAUCGCACCACUCCUUCCAAGUCAGCUGAAGGUAGUUGGUUGGUAUGGCUACAACUGUUCCAGCAGAUAAAGAUUCAUGAAAAACAAAAUGCGUCUUGUAGAACUGCACUGAAAGGAACAAGCUGAAGUUUAUGUACUUGUGUGUUUGUUUCUUGCUCAGGCCUAUUGCAAUGCAGAACUUUAUAUGUACAUUUUUCCAUAUUCUACUCCUAGAUAUUCUGGAGUGUGAGUAUAGAGUUUGAAAACUGAGACUAUUUUUUGAUAGUAAUGCUGAGAAACUUCAUUUUCCAAAUCAGAGAAAAACUAUGGAUAUGCUUAGAAAUAAAUUCUCAGCUGAGCAG
rnacentral:lncRNA from 1 species